rnacentral:rRNA from 1 species
CUGUUAGAGCAAUCGAAGCAGUGAACUUAAGCCCCAGUAAACGGCGGCCGUAACUAUAACGGUCCUAAGGUAGCGAAAUUCCUUGUCGGGUAAGUUCCGACCCGCACGAAAGGCGUAACGAUUUGGGCACUGUCUCAACAACAGACUCGGUGAAAUUGUAAUUCCGGUGAAGAUGCCGGAUACCUGCGACAGGACGGAAAGACCCCAUGGAGCUUUACUGUAGCUUGACAUUGGGUCUUGGUACUACAUGUACAGGAUAGGUGGGAGGCUUUGAAACCAGGACGCCAGUUUUGGCGGAGCCAUCCUUGGGAUACCACCCUUGUAGUACUGGGACUCUAACCAUAGGCCAUGAAUCUGGUCUUGGGACACUGUCAGGUGGGCAGUUUGACUGGGGCGGUCGCCUCCCAAAAGGUAACGGAGGCGCUCAAAGGUUCUCUCAGUACGGUCGGAAAUCGUACGUAGAGUGUAAAGGCAAAAGAGAGCUUGAUUGCAAGACAUACAGGUCGAGCAAGGAUGAAAAUCGGACUUAGUGAUCCGGUGGUUCUGCGUGGAAGGGCCAUCGCUCAACGGAUAAAAGCUACCCUGGGGAUAACAGGCUUAUCUCCCCCAAGAGUCCACAUCGACGGGGAGGUUUGGCACCUCGAUGUCGGCUCAUCACAUCCUGGGGCUGUAGUAGGUCCCAAGGGUUGGGCUGUUCGCCCAUUAAAGUGGUACGCGAGCUGGGUUCAGAACGUCGUGAGACAGUUCGGUCCCUAUCCGUCGCAGGCGUAGGAAAUUUGAGAAGACCUGUCCUUAG